CUUAUUUCGGGGGUGGGGGUUCAGUGGGUUUUUAAAGUUUUGUUUUUAGAACCUUAUCUCUUCUCUCCUUCGUAUCUUUCUAUUUUAUUUUAUUUUUCUAAUCUCAAAAUACUCUCUAUGAACUUCUCACUGGACACGUUGCAAUAAUUAAGCACUUUAUAGGAGAUUAUUGAUUAGAAAGACACAUAGACCGAUUUUUGAAUGUUUAUACCAAUUUUCUGCAUAAACGGUUUUUAGAACACUGAGUUUAAAAUAUCGGAUUUAAGGUCCCUAUAAAUACAAAUUGUACAUAUUUUAUAUCUAUAAUUAUGAAUUAUUGUAUAAAUGAAUGGAAAGAAAGAUAAAGGUUAUACUUUUGUAUACACGUGUGAAAAUAAAACAGGGCAGAGAAUCCUCUUAUAAACUAGAAUAAAUUUCUAUAUAAAAUUAUUUAUUUCUACAUUUGGAUGACUUUUUUUAACUAAGAACGUGUUCCUUCCUAUUUUGUACGUAAGGCUUCUGAUUAUCACCAAGCGACGAAAUUCUAGUUUAUCAUUUUUGUAAAGACAAAUUCCGCACUUUAUGACAAAAGUUUUUCACUUUGUUUUGUGAACAUUUAUUUAUCAGGGAAUAGGAUCAUGAGAAUGCAUGGUAGUCUGGUAGGUGGAUAAAUCAAUUCAAAGACAAUGAUAAUUAUAAGACAUGCAUGUAACGAAUAAUCAAUCAUGUUAGUGGAGAGUAGUUUAUUUUGGUGUUAAACAAUGUCCACAAACUCCGCAAAUUUAGGGUAAUUAAUUGACAUAGUCUCUACUCAAAAUCUACAGACACUUCGAUUUUUGUAUUAUGAAGACUAAAAAUGUGAUACUAGGAUAAUGGCACGUACAAAAGACUAUUCAUAGGAUAAGAAACGUCAAAGUUUAGUGACAAGUGACUACGUAAACGAAGGGUGCAUGGAAUAAAGAGGGAAAAUGGUUAUGGGUAUCAAGCAAGAAAACCUUGACAAACCGGCUGCACAGUUUCAAUAUGUUAUCUCAGAUCAGGUGCAAGUUUUAUAUCAAGCGAAUGCCCAAACUUUUAAAUAUAUUUCCAUCAGAAGUACCUAAUUAAAGUAUCAUUAUUCAACCAAUGUUUGUCGAGAACAAUAUUAUCUAAACUAUAAUAUCUAUAUUUCUGUUUAACAUCCAUCCGUAUAAUUGUUCUUCUUAAAUUUUAAAUCUUUACAAAAUCAAAAAUAAAAUAAGAGUGGAGAGAGAAAAACACUCUAUCACCUUUCUGGCGGCUGCGGCAACGUGAAAAGCACUUCACCUCUAUCUAUUCUCUUAGCGAUUUUUUAUCUUCGGACGAGGUCUUUUGAUCAAAUACGCGUUGUGAUGGUUUCUCGAUUAGCUGGCGGUGCUGCAUGCACGAGGCUUGGGGUCUAGGUGACUAGUUGUGGUGCUCGGAAGACUAGUGCUGGUGACGAUCUCUCCCUUCUCCCUUUUGUCUUUUGAUCUACUCUGAGAUAUGUGAUCUGGUCGGAGGCAAAGCUUCGUUGGUGCUGAAGGCGUGGGUGUGGCGGAGUGAAGUGCAAGCUCACAGUGUGCUUCUCUCUGGGCAUCUAUCGGAUCUGGAUCAAUUCGAGGACUGUGGAUCUGGCUCUGUUGGCUCUCUCCCGGCGGUUCGUCUAUUUGAGGGUUCUCUUCUACCUUUCUCUUUAUUUGCUUUCAUGGAGUAAGUAGCCCUGUUUUGGUCGUCCAACACUAUUUGAUCUCGUUCGAUUCGGUUUCGCAGAAGCUUUUGACGAAGGUGUUUUGUUUAGUUGUAGCAAAGGUUCUUCUCCUUCGCAUCGGGUGUUCUAUUAUAAGAUGCUGGAGACAGAUGUUUUAUGUUCUGUCUCUCCUCUAGAAGCGGUCAUGUGCUUCCAAGCUUCUUAUGGUGGUAACCACAUGCGGCCCUCCUGUGUCUAAUCUGGUUUCUUUUGGUUCCAUCCAGUUUUGUCUCAAUUUUUGUUUGGUAGGGAACUUAACCAGAUUCAGUUCUGAGAGCAGGAUUAUCCUAGGUCCUUAAGUGGGUUUUUAGAGAAAAUGACUGAUUUAAUUAAAUAGAAACUAAUUAAAAAGAGAUAACCGAUCCUUAAUCUGAUAUUUUGGUGAUCGAUUUAAGGAGGAGUUACUAGGGCACGUGUCAGCACAUCAGAAUUUAUCUAUUUUUUUUUUCUUUCUUAUUUUUCUUUUUCUCUCUUUCUUUUCUUCUUUUCUUCUUGUUUUCUCCGUCUGUCGGCGUCUCGGCUCCUCUCGUCUUCUACGAUCGCGAGACCUCUCUUCCGGCGGCGAGUUAAUCAGAUAUCUCCGGCGAGUUAAUCAGAUAUUUCCUCUCUUUCGCGAGACCACUCUUCCCCCAAGAGAAGCCUCUCUUUCGGAUUAUUCCCUCCUCUCUCCCCAACUGUUUCGACUUCUAGUCGCUCUUGUACCGUCAGGGUACUUCCCCUCCGAACAUCCUUCUUUUGAAACUCGGGUGCGUCUUCUUUAACUGCCUCACGGCUUUCUUUUUUUGCUCUCUCUCUUCAUUUGAUUAGUUUCCGAAUUGUUGUGUGAUUGGUCGGAAGAAAAGUAGUGUUGCUAUCUUAAAGAUUGGUUGAUUAGAGAGUGGUCUGAAUUUGAUUGGAAAGUUGCGGUAGAGUUUGAAGUCAUAGUUGUUGAUUGAUUAUGCUUUGCUCCUUGUGAUACUUGAAGUUCAAUUGCUGUUUGAGUUUAAGAGUUUGUGAAGUCGUAGAAUUUAGUGAUCAUCUAGCUGAGUUUGUCACUUAUAAUCUUCAUUCUGUUUAUUAAUUCUGUUAUUUAAUCUUGUACAUAUAAUCUCCAUUCUGUUAAUUAAUUCCUUUUAAUGUCUUGAUUCUUUUGCAACUCUUUUAUUCAUGGUUGAGGUCGCUGUGGCAGAGAGUAUAACACAUCAAGUUCUUCGACAAGCAACCACUACCUUCGUCUCUCAGUGAGGUUGUCCGCUAUGGAGUUAAUGCAGUUCUUGUCCCCUGGUGUGAUACCGUUCUUGUCCCCUGAAGAUAACCUAGUGAAGAAGUGUCAUUGUCAUCGGUCACGACCUCUUUGUAUGCUUGUGUGUUUCAAAUGAAUCACAGACUUGUCUUUUUGUAUGUUUGUGUAUUAUUCAAGUGUCAUGAAUAGACCUCUUUGUAUGCUUGUGUGUUUCAAAUGAAUCACGGACUUGUCCUUUUGUAUAUGUGUGUAUUAUUCAAGUGUCAUGAAUAGACCUCUUUGUAUGCUAGUGUAUUAUCAGUCACAAACUUUUGUAUGCU